AUUGAACGCUGGCGGCAGGCCUAACACAUGCAAGUCGAACGAGUGGCGGACGGGUGAGUAAUUUCUGGGAACCUGCCUGAUGGCGGGGGAUAACUACUGGAAACGGUAGCUAAUACCGCAUACCAUCAGAUGUGCCCAGAUGGGAUUAGCUAGUUGGUGGGGUAAAGGCUCACCAAGGCCACGAUCCCUAGCUGGUCUGAGAGGAUGACCAGCCACACUGGGACUUAGACAAGGUCCAGACUCCUACGGGAGGCAGCAGUGGGGAAUAUUGCACAAUGGGCGCAAGCCUGAUGCAGCCAUGCCGCGUGUAUGAAGAAGGCCUUCGGGUUGUAAAGUACUUUCGGCGGGGAGGCGUUACCCGCAGAAGAAGCACCGGCUAACUACGUGCCAGCAGCCGCGGUAAUAC
rnacentral:rRNA from 1 species